AGGACGAACGCUGGCGGCGUGCUUAACACAUGCAAGUCGAGCGGUGAUCCUCCUUCGGGAGGUGAUCAGCGGCGAACGGGUGAGUAACACGUGGGCAACCUGCCCCUCACACUGGGAUAACCUCGGGAAACCGGGGCUAAUACCGGAUACGACCUCGAGCGGCAUCUCUUGAGGUGGAAAGCUCCGACGGUGAGGGAUGGGCCCGCGGCCUAUCAGCUUGUUGGUGGGGUAAUGGCCUACCAAGGCGACGACGGGUAGCCGGCCUGAGAGGGCGACCGGCCACACUGGGACUGAGACACGGCCCAGACUCCUACGGGAGGCAGUAGUGGGGAAUAUUGCGCAAUGGGCGAAAGCCUGACGCAGCGACGCCGCGUGAGGGAUGAAGGCCUUCGGGUUGUAAACCUCUUUCAGCAGGGACGAAGCGAAGUGACGGUACCUGCAGAAGAAGCACCGGCUAACUACGUGCCAGCAGCCGC
rnacentral:rRNA from 1 species